rnacentral:rRNA from 1 species
GACGAACGCUGGCGGCGUGCUUAACACAUGCAAGUCGAACGGAAAGGCCCUGCUUUUGUGGGGUGUUCGAGUGGCGAACGGGUGAGUAACACGUGAGUAACCUGCCCUUGACUUUGGGAUAACUUCAGGAAGCUGGGGCUAAUACCGGAUAGGAGCUCCUGCUGCAUGGUGGGGGUUGGAAAGUUUCGGCGGUUGGGGAUGGACUCGCGGCUUAUCAGCUUGUUGGUGGGGUAGUGGCUUACCAAGGCUUUGACGGGUAGCCGGCCUGAGAGGGUGACCGGCCACAUUGGGACUGAGAUACGGCCCAGACUCCUACGGGAGGCAGCAGUGGGGAAUAUUGCACAAUGGGCGGAAGCCUGAUGCAGCAACGCCGCGUGCGGGAUGACGGCCUUCGGGUUGUAAACCGCUUUCGCCUGUGACGAAGCGUGAGUGACGGUAAUGGGUAAAGAAGCACCGGCUAACUACGU